rnacentral:rRNA from 1 species
GACGAACGCUGGCGGCGUGCUUAACACAUGCAAGUCGUACGGUAAGGCCCUUUCGGGGGUCCACGAGUGGCGAACGGGUGAGUAACACGUGAGUAACCUGCCCACAACUUUGGGAUAACGCUAGGAAACUGGUGCUAAUACUGGAUAUGUGCUCCUGCUGCAUGGUGGGGGUUGGAAAGCUCCGGCGGUUGUGGAUGGACUCGCGGCCUAUCAGCUUGUUGGUGGGGUAGUGGCCUACCAAGGCGGCGACGGGUAGCCGGCCUGAGAGGGUGACCGGCCACAUUGGGACUGAGAUACGGCCCAGACGCCUACGGGAGGCAGCAGUGGGGAAUAUUGCACAAUGGGCGCAAGCCUGAUGCAGCAACGCCGCGGGCGGGAUGACGGCCUUCGGGUUGUAAACCGCUUUCAGCAGGGACGAAGCUUUUUGUGACGGUACCUGCAGAAGAAGCACCGGCUAACUACGUG